UCCUUUCCGGGUGUGCUUUUG
rnacentral:siRNA from 1 species